AUUGAACGCUAGCGGGAUGCUUUACACAUGCAAGUCGAACGAGUGGCGGACGGGUGAGUAAUAUAUCGGAACGUGCCCAGUAGAGGGGGAUAACUACUCGAAAGAGUGGCUAAUACCGCAUACUAUCGGAGCGGCCGAUAUCGGAUUAGCUGAUUGGUGGGGAAAAGGCUCACCAAGGCAACGAUCCGUAGCUGGGUUGAGAGUACGACCAGACACACUGGAACUGAGACACGGGCCAGGCUCCUACGGGAGGCAGCAGUGGGGAAUGUUGGACAAUGGGGGAAACCCUGAUCCAGCCAUCCCGCGUGUAUGAGAAGGCCUUCGGGUUGUGAAGUACUUUUGGCGGAGAAGCGGUAUCUGCAGAAUAAGCACCGGCUAACUACGUGCCAGCAGCCGCGGUAAUUC
rnacentral:rRNA from 1 species